GAUGAACGCUAGCGGCAGGCCUAAUACAUGCAAGUCGGACGGGAUUCAGGAGCUUGCUUCUGAUGAGAGUGGCGCACGGGUGCGUAACACGUAUGUAACCUACCUUUAUCAGGGGGAUAGCCUCUCGAAAGAGAGAUUAAGCCCGCAUAAAAUCACAGCACAGCAUUGUGUAAUGAUCAAAUAUUUAUAGGAUAAAGAUGGGCAUGCGGAACAUUAGCUAGAUGGCGGGGUAACGGCCCACCAUGGCGACGAUGUUUAGGGGAUCUGAGAGGAUGGCCCCCCACACUGGUACUGAGACACGGACCAGACUCCUACGGGAGGCAGCAGUAAGGAAUAUUGGUCAAUGGGCGGAAGCCUGAACAGCCAUGCCGCGUGCAGGAAGACGGCCCUACGGGUUGUAAACUGCUUUUAUACGGGAAUAAACCCAGAUACGUGUAUCUGGCUGAAUGUACUGUAAGAAUAAGGAUCGGCUAACUCCGUG
rnacentral:rRNA from 1 species